AAGUUCUAAAAAAUAUAUUUUUUAAUUAUUUUUCUUAAAAUUACUUAUUUUUUCACCUUAAUUACACUACAUGUUUUUCGAAAUUUCAAGAAAAACAAAUGCAUCCAAAUAUAACAAAAUCAUGAACUUUAAAUUUUAGCUCACUUUAAAAGGAGCAUAACGGAGUCGGGUGCAUGUAGAAGAUUGGGCUUGGAAUCCGUUUAACAUAAACGUAAAGAGAUACAAAGAAAACUGGAGCAGAAUCCAAUAGACAGUUCUCCCUUGUCCUCUUAAGUAAGGAGAAAGUAAACCGGUAGAUGAAAACGAAAAGUAAUUUGAACUGAAGAUUGGUAGGGGCCGCGCGAACGCAGGCCCCCUCUGCAACAAAUUAUGACGUAGGCUCUCCCAACUUGGGGAGACCUUAGACCAGCACCCCUCCUAAGUGCAAUGGAGGUCACUGACCUAGGCCAUGGGCCUUCUUGAUCACCCAUUGACCCCGUCCAGGUAAGUAUGUUGUUUGUUGCUUCUCGCUUCUAAUAUAUAGCUGUCAGACUUCACUCUGUCUUUCAUUUCUUCGAUGUGGGAUUGUAGCUUUCUUUCAGUUUCAGACACUGCUUCAUUUUAUCCCCCCCUUUCUGAACACCUUCAAAUUGCCUAUUGACAUCAAUUCGUCCCCGAGCUGUGAAGGUUCUUAACAUGAAUCUGCAUGUUAAUGAGAAGAUUGAUGACUGAUUCAAUUUGAUGUGUUCAUGAGAAGUUGGGAACCAUAGCCCAUAGCAAGGUUUUGCUUCAUUUCAGUAGAAUCAUACGUUUUUAGUUGAGUGAUAUCUACGUAAUGCACAGUUUUGUCAUUUGUGUUGAGUUUCACUGUAAAAAAAGCUGAUUUUUUUACACACAUUUCAAAUAUUUCUUUUCAUCUUCUUGUAAAACAAAAACGGGGAGGAAACUAUUUAAUAAUGAGAUAAUUUAAAAAUUUUAUCAUGGGAUGAUAAUAAUUUUGAGUAUUUUUGUAGUGUUUGAUUUGUUUAAAUUUUAUUAAGAUGAAUUCAGGUUGUGUGUAAUUGGACUUUAAGAUGAGUUUGAAUGAAAAACUAAUAAUUUUUAUGUUAGAAUACUGAAUAUAUGAUUUAAAUAUUUAAAAUAUAAAUUAUAAUUAAUAAUUUUUAUAUAAAUUAUAUAAGAAUGGAGACAUGUAUAGGUAAUUUAUGAUGAAUUUUAGUUAAAUUUAUGCAUAUUUAAAUUAUGAUUAAAUUUAUGCUGCAGUUAUUCUGCUUUUUUUUUUUUGCCAUGCCUUUUACAGCAUUUGAAAUGCCCUCAAAGGGCUAUGCACUACAGGGGGAGUUUGAGAUCAUAUGCGACUAACCAGCCCAACUGGAGGCUGUUGUUGCCAUCUUUAGUGUCACUGGCCACAGCCUACAACCCAACAGCAGCAAAAGAAUAUUCAGUUUGAUGGUAUUCUUAUGGAAGAAGAAGAGAUUAUGCGACGAAUGGAGUGAACAUGAAUGAAAACAUUAAAGAAGGAUAUGUAAGUACUAACGAAUGGGCAUAGAGAGAAAGGGAGAUUUGGGAGGGAGAAAUGUGGAACGUAAUAACUAUGUUUCCUUCGAUGUGGUUUUAGGUGGAACAAGGUUCAAAGGUAGAGCUCCCUUUCUGGCUUGCUUAUGAGCCGUCUUAAGGCAACGUUUGUCAUUUAUAAUAAUCUGGUCCUAAAGCAUUCUUUUGUUUCAUAUUAUAGCGUGAGUAGAAGGGAGAGGCAUGACUGCAUAAUGGUUUGUAUGCCCUAAUGAAUGGAUUUGGUCAGUGGAUUAUGGGAUUCAAUUGAUUUUAUUUUCUAAUAUAAUUGUCUACUCAUUUAAUUCCCUGUUGAUAACAUAUGUUUUUUUGUUAUUAUAUGUUAGUGUAGUGAUUUAGGAUUAGACCAGCUUAUGUCAACUAACUUUGUUAAAGACUUGAAGUUCUCUAAGGAGGGUGCUUUUUACGCACAGAGUGAUAAUGGACUUCCUUUAGAAUCAUCUGAGGUGUAGGUCACAGCAAUGUCGUUCCAUCUAGAAGUAUAUUAAAAUGGUUUUUUCUUUUUUCAAUUUUGUCUUUUUUAUUGACAAUUUAUUAGCCUCAACAGGACCCGGUUGGAAAUUCAUGUUGAUGCUUUGUGGACCCAGUGUUAUCUAAUUCCUUACCCUAUUGCAUGGCUUCCAAUAUGCACGGUCUAAAAUGAACAAGUAUCUCCUGGUCAUGAGUGGUUAUCACUGGAUGGAUGAAUCUCUUGUUUCUCAUACUUGAACAAAGAUUAGCCAUUAUGGUCAAUUCAGCUUCAUGGAUGAAAUUGAUUCUUUUGUGAAGGAGUGAAGAUGAUUAUUGAUUAGAUAAUUGUACAAAAUGGUUGAACUUUUUUCCGGGUUUAUAAUGCAUUUAGCUGCUGAAUGGAGCAAAAUAGUUAUGGAGGAGAUGCUGAAGGAAGCUGAGUGGAGUAUAUCUCUCUCCUGGAAGUCCCAUUGCUGCUGAAUUUCCAGAGCUCCCCGUGUUAUCUUAGCUGCUGCCAAUGGAAAAACAACACAAAGUGCAUCUGAGUGGACAUUUCACAGGGAAAUUCAAUGGGAAUGAGUGGCAGUACCAUUUUUAUCAAUAUGUUUUUCACACUUCGGGUGGGAAUUUGAGAGGAGUUCAUUUUAAAAAAUCAAACAUGAAAACUAGGGAAUAGAAGUUGGGGGUUGGUCAGGAAUCCAUGGAGAAAAAUGAACUAGUAUACUUUUUCUAAUUCAAUCUUGUAAAGUGUUUUUAUGAACCUCAUUUUAUUUUCAAUUAUAUUAUAAUUUGUAUAGCAGUCUCUUGUUAGCGACAAAUAUGAAACUUAGUCUCAUUUGCCUUGGCAUAGAAAUUGAAAAAUCUCUCAAAGAGGUUUGAUUGAACACUUGAAAGCAACAACCAAGAAGCAUGAAAAUAUGUAAAAUUUACGAUUAGUCAACUUUUCAAUCCUCCGAACCACCAUAAACUUUAUAUUUCUAAAGGGAUCACAAUGCUGUAGAUAACACAUUUGAAGCCACUGUAUUAUUAUAACAAAAGAUUAGAAACUCCAAAUUUAAACUCUGAUAGAGCUCUUUUGUUGCAACGAGUAUAAUAAAGUCCGGGCUAAAUAAAGUCUUGGGCUAAAACUAUGUUUAAUCAACAAAAAGGAGCAACGCUGGCAGAACGUCUGAAAAGCUUGAAAGAAAUCGAACCAACUGGUUCAGUCCUGCUGCGAACCAGAAAAAAGGAGUUCAGCUGAACCUACAUGAAAAUGUUUGCACUGAAGAUAGUAGGGGCCGCGCGAACGCAGGCCCCCUCUGCAACAAAUUAUGACGUAGGCUCUCCCAACUUGGGGAGACCUUAGAACAGCACCCCUCCUAAGUGCAAUGGAGGUCACUGACCUAGGCCAUGGGCCUUCUUGAUCACCCAUUGACCCCGUCCAGGUGUAAUUAUUUUUGCAAAAUUGUCCUGCUUGUUGCCAUCUCUAGUGCCACUGGCAGAGCCUACAACCCAAGAGCAGCAAAAGAAUAUUCAGUAAUCACAUGCAUGAAAUUAAUCUCUAGACGUGUCUCCUGGUCGUGCGUGGUUAUCACUAGAUGGACGAAUCUCUUGUUUCUCAUACCCUCAACAAAGAUUACCAAUUAUAGCAAUUCAGGUUCAUGGAUGAGAUUGAUCCUUUUGUGAAGCAGUGAAGAUGAUUAUUGAUUUGAUAAUUGUAUGAAAAUGGUUGAACUUUUUUCCAGGUUUGUAAUGCAUUUAGCUGCUGAAUGGAGCAAAAUAGUUAUGGAGAAAAUGCUGAAGGAAGCUGAGCGGAGUGCAUAUCUAUCCUGCAAGUCCCAUUGCUGCUGAAUUUCUAGAGGACUCAUGUUAUUUAGCUGCUGCCAAUGGAAAAACAACCUCUGAGUGGACAUUUCACAGGGAAAUUCAAUGGGAAUGGAUGGCAGUACCGUUUUUAUCAAUACGUUUUUCCCAGUUGGAGAAGGAAUUUGAGAGGAGUUGAGUUUACAAAAUCAAACAUGAAAACUAGGAACAAGUUGUGAGUUGGUCAGGAAUCCAUGGAGAAAAAUUAACUAGGAUACUUGCCUGUAAAGUGUUUAUGGACCUCAUUUUAUUUCCAAUUCUAUUAUUUUUGUAUAGC